rnacentral:rRNA from 1 species
AUAGAGACUCAGAGCUGCAUAUCAAUAAGCGGAGGAAAAGAAACUAACUAGGAUUCCCUUAGUGACGGCGAGUGAAGCGGGAAGAGCUCAAAUUUGAAAUCUUCAAGGUUCUACCUUGACGAAUUGUAGUUUAAAGAAGUGUUUUCUGUUGGAGUUUUGGUAAAAGUUCUUUGGAAUAGGACAUCAUAGAGGGUGAGAAUCCCGUAUUUGACGUUAUUCAUUCUAGCUUUGUGAUACACUUUCAAAGAGUCGGAUUGUUUGGGAAUGCAGUCCAAAAUGGGUGGUAAAUUUCAUCUAAAGCUAAAUAUUGGCGAGAGACCGAUAGCGAACAAGUACCGUGAGGGAAAGAUGAAAAGAACUUUGAAAAGAGAGUUAAACAGUACGUGAAAUUGUCAAAAGGGAAGCGUUUGACACCAGUGUUGUUUUUCCGAAAAUCAAUUACGAAUGGCUUGAUUCUGUGUUGUAUUGACCUUAUCAGCUUUCUGCACUUUUUUCGAGUCUUUCUUAAUGCACUUUUCGGUUAACAAGUCAACAUCAAUUUCUUUUGUUGUAAAAGAGUAUUCGGAAGGUGGCUUUCUUUUCGGAGAAAGUGUUUAUAGCCCUAUACUUCUACAAUCGGAGAGAUUGAGGUCUGCAGCGUAGAUCCUUCGGGGUUAGAUACACUUGUGCUAAGUUAUAGCUUUUCAUAGACAACUUGUUGACUAUGUUUAGUCUUGUAGCUUACUCGCUUGUGCUAUUUUACCUACGCUUAGGAUGUUGAAGUCAUCGUAUCGCGC